rnacentral:misc_RNA from 1 species
UAGCAGCGUUGGGAAGUGCUC